rnacentral:sRNA from 1 species
UUCUCAAGCGAAAGCAAAGCCUCUAAACUCCAAACCACAUUUUUACCGGUUUCCAACCAACCUCUGCCAAAAUGUCUCCCUGCUCCUGCAACUGCUGCUCUGGCAACUGCGCCAGCUGCUCCUGCUCCUCCUGCAGCGUGAGUAUCC